ACGCGAAACCGCCCUUUGGGGCGGUCGGUCUGGCGCGGCGGCCAGGCCCUGAUGAGCGAGCCUUUG
rnacentral:hammerhead_ribozyme from 2 species